rnacentral:rRNA from 1 species
UGGGGAAUAUUGCACAAUGGGGGAAACCCUGAUGCAGCGACGCCGCGUGAACGAAGAAGGUAUUCGUAUCGUAAAGUUCUGUCCUAUGGGAAGAUAAUGACAGUACCAUAGAAGAAAGCUCCGGCUAAAUACGUGCCAGCAGCCGCGGUAAUACGUAUGGAGCGAGCGUUGUCCGGAAUUAUUGGGCGUAAAGGGUACGCAGGCGGUUUUAUAAGUCGAAUGUUAAAGAUCGGGGCUCAACCCCGUAAAGCAUUGGAAACUGAUAAACUUGAGUAGUGGAGAGGAAAGUGGAAUUCCUAGUGUAGUGGUGAAAUACGUAGAUAUUAGGAGGAAUACCAGUAGCGAAGGCGACUUUCUGGACACAAACUGACGCUGAGGUACGAAAGCGUGGGGAGCAAACAGG